UAGAGUUUGAUCAUGGCUCAGAUUGAACGCUAGCGGGAUGCCUUACACAUGCAAGUCGAACGGCAGCACGGACUUCGGUCUGGUGGCGAGUGGCGAACGGGUGAGUAAUGUAUCGGAACGUGCCCAGUAGCGGGGGAUAACUACGCGAAAGCGUAGCUAAUACCGCAUACGCCCUACGGGGGAAAGCAGGGGAUCGUAAGACCUUGCACUAUUGGAGCGGCCGAUAUCGGAUUAGCUAGUUGGUGGGGUAACGGCUCACCAAGGCGACGAUCCGUAGCUGGUUUGAGAGGACGACCAGCCACACUGGGACUGAGACACGGCCCAGACUCCUACGGGAGGCAGCAGUGGGGAAUUUUGGACAAUGGGGGAAACCCUGAUCCAGCCAUCCCGCGUGUGCGAUGAAGGCCUUCGGGUUGUAAAGCACUUUUGGCAGGAAAGAAACGUCGCGGGUUAAUACCCCGCGAAACUGACGGUACCUGCAGAAUAAGCACCGGCUAACUACGUGCCAGCAGCCGCGGUAAUACGUAGGGUGCAAGCGUUAAUCGGAAUUACUGGGCGUAAAGCGUGCGCAGGCGGUUCGGAAAGAAAGAUGUGAAAUCCCAGAGCUUAACUUUGGAACUGCAUUUUUAACUACCGAGCUAGAGUGUGUCAGAGGGAGGUGGAAUUCCGCGUGUAGCAGUGAAAUGCGUAGAUAUGCGGAGGAACACCGAUGGCGAAGGCAGCCUCCUGGGAUAACACUGACGCUCAUGCACGAAAGC
rnacentral:rRNA from 2 species